AUGCAAGUGUGAUAGCGGGAGCUCUGACAGGCAUUUUGGACCAUGAAGCAAAAACAAGUUGGUUGUUCAUGGUGUUGGAAGAUAUUCAGGCUACACUAACGUCAGAUGAGGGACCUGAGGCCCAGAGAAGAUGAUGAACCGGCUCUUGUGGACAGUUCUCCCAGAAACAGACUCUGAGACAGAGGUUGGUUGCAGAAAGUAUAUUGGAGAGUUUUUUCAGCAGUAACACCUGAGGACAGGGGAGAGUGAGGAUGGCAGGUAUGGGGGGGAUGUUAAUCUGUGAUGCAAACAGUUCUACCAUUAUCCUCUGCUGAUGUCACAGGGAACUCUGGGCAGGGCUGGACCUUUAGAGCUGUCUCCAUCUGAGAUGGAUCUAGGCUUUGUAUCUGCCCUUUGACUAGUCCAGAUGGGAAGGACUUCAGUAACUGGGCAUCACACAGGGCCGAGACAUCGCCCUCUGCUGGAGAGGGAUGCCCUCAUCAGACAGCCUCCAGGAGCCCACAUCAGUCAUGCAUCACUCCUGGGGGUUCCAUCUGGACAGCACAAAACUGUGCUCAGUGCACCAGCACGAGGUCCCAAAGUCAUAAGGGAUAGAGCUGUGUGCAAAGCCACAUCCGUACGGCCUGCCUGCUGCCUCUUUGUGCUGUUACAAUCCCUGUCCUACAACUUACGAAAGAACAACGUACGUUAAGAAGGAAUCACAGAAUAACACUGGAGGGAACCCACGUGAAACAGCCCCCUAGAAUGUAACUAACAGAAAAAAAUUGAUAGAACUUAGGUCAUCACUGGCACUAUUUGACUUUUUUCUCCUUUUUUCUGGAUGGAGCUUCAAUCUUAGACUGUGUUCCCUAGAGAUGCUGAGGAAUAAAGGAAGAACUAGUCUGCUUUGACAAGAUGACAAGCCAUCUGUACAUGAUGAUGAGCUGUAUAUCUCC